AUGGGAGCCCCUUUUUGCCCCAUCUCUUAUUCAACAAACCUAUUUACAUAUCUAGACCUAGAAGAUAUGAACUACCUAGUAAACUGGACAUCUACUUUAUUUAUUCAACUUAUACAACUCCACCACCAUGUCUAUACACACAUAUUUCCAUUUCCAAUCACAUUAAGCUCAACUCUUCAUUCAAUAUCUUGA